rnacentral:lncRNA from 1 species
AACAGUAAGAAACAGGCAGUGUGAUCCAGAAUGACCACCUUUCUCUUGAUCUCGCUCCACCCUUCAGGUCUCAGGAUCCAUACCCAGCAUUUUGUCCCCUGCACUCUGUGCUACAGAGCCAAGGUCCACAUUGCCUGAUACAAGCGGAGUCAAUGCCGGCUGCUGCCACAACAUUCACUGUAGUGAUAUUCUCAGUGUCUUAAGACGGAGCUUCAUUCCUUAAUUUGAAACGUUCCAAGGCAUGGUCGGGUCCCUUUAAUGUGCCAUACAUGUGCGCUAUGGGCAGUUAGCAGAUAAAAAUGGACAAAGCACAAUUAUCUCCAGUGCGGAGAGAGAACAGAACUUUUCAGAGGUUUAAUGACAGCUGGAGCCAGAUAUGUGCCUGCAGACCUUUCCCCCUUUGGCUUCUCAAAGUACCAAGCACUUUAAAGUUAAUGGCACAGUUGCGGAUCAAAGGAAGACAUUUGUCAAGACUCACCAAGAAAGCGCUCCGUACCAUCAACAAGAGCAGAGCUGAUGUUGGGGUCUGGGCUUACCACUUUUCUGGUUAGAACUUAAAUCCUGUACUUGGGCAAGUACUUCACCACGUGGCUUAUCUCCCCCCUCCCCAAAAACUGUUGUUUUGAGACAGGCUUUCCCUAACUAUCCUUAUAGGCCCU